rnacentral:tRNA from 4 species
GGUGGCGUGUCCGAGCGGCCGAAGGAGCACGACUCGAAAUCGUGUGACGGUUAAUACCCGUCCGUGGGUUCAAAUCCCACCGCCACCGCCA